rnacentral:lncRNA from 1 species
GGAGUAUUUAUGAUGAUACCUCAGCAGCUGGGAAGAGCAAAGAAGAACAUGGAAUCAACCUUUCUGGACAGUAUUUCAAGGCAUUUUGCAGCCAUCUUGUGCAAGCAGAAAAGAAAGCAGACAGCAAUCAGACAAAAGUGGUCCAUUUAUGUUUUGACAUCUUACUGAAGCCCAGUAGAGCUGUUUUUAUCAGCUGUUCAAAGGGGAAACAUAUUCGUUUGGUACACAGAAGUAGUGCUCCUCUGGGUACAAUUGGCAGGCACCACUAGACAAGGCAUAGAUAGAUUUACAAAAACAAGACAUUUCAGACAUUUGUCAAAAAUUAUUUUUAUAAAUUUUUUUUAUUUUUUAUUU